GCCUUCGUGGUGUAAUGGUCAGCACGCUCGGCGCGUAUUCUAGAGGUCCGACGGUUCGAAUCCCGGCGCCGGCA
rnacentral:tRNA from 1 species